AUUGAACGCUAGUGGGAUGCCUUACACAUGCAAGUCGAACGGAGUGGCGAACGGGUGAGUAAUGUAUCGGAACGUGCCCAGUAGCGGGGGAUAACUACGCGAAAGCGUAGCUAAUACCGCAUACCAUCUGAGGGACCGAUCCCGGAUUAGCUAGUUGGUGGGGUAACGGCCCACCAAGGCGACGAGCCGUACCUGGUUUGAGAGGACGACCAGCAACACUGGAACUGAGACACGGCCCAGACUCCUACGGGAGGCAGCAGUGGGGAAGUUUGGACAAUGGGGGAAACCCUGAUCCAGCCAUCCCGCGUGUGCGAUGAAGGCCUUCGGGUGGUAAAGCACUUUUGGCAGGAAAGCGGUACCUUCAGAAUAAGCACCGGCUAACUACGUGCCAGCAGCCGCGGUAAUUC
rnacentral:rRNA from 1 species